GACGAACCGUGCGAACGUUGUUCGGAAUCACUGGGCUUAAAGGGCGCGUAGGCGGGCAGGCAAGUCAGGGGUGAAAGCCCACGGCUCAACCGUGGAAGUGCCUUUGAUACUGCCGGCCUGGAGGGAGGUAGGGGCGUGCGGAACUUCCGGUGGAGCGGUGAAAUGCGCAGAUAUCGGGAGGAACACCAGUGGCGAAGGCGGAACUCUGGGCCGGAACUGACGCUGAGGAGCGAAAGCGUGGGGAGCGAACAGG
rnacentral:rRNA from 1 species